GGAUACCCACCGCAUCACAGCAAACGGGCGAGUUGGCGAGCGCUCUCCCGUCUGCUUCUCUUCACAAGCCACCAGCUUUCCCCAUUCCCAUUGCCCGAGAUUUUUCCCUGCUUCAGUGACUCCAUUUCAGUGGUUAAUGCUUUCUGAACCCGUAUGACUUACAGAUAUAUAUUAGUCAUUUAUGACAACAGUCAAGAAUUACGUGCGAAGAGUGAUUUCCAAAGCAGUUUUAAAAGUCUGAAGGAGUGCUAACUACCACUAUUGCUAUCUCAGGAUGGUGGGCAAAUAUAUUUCUACCUGACACAUCCUCCUCCUCCACCAGUGCCAAUUAUAACUCAGAUGGACUCGGGGGAUUACUGACAAUUUCUUUAAUGGUGUGUGAGAGUUCCCAUUGCCCAUAUAGAUUUACUCUGCAACACAGACAGUGACAAAAAGAUGCCAUCUCUGUGUCAUACUGUCAAUGGAUGCCAUGGAGAGAAUCUCAAUGCCAUUUCAAAAUCUGCUAGCAGAGAGGAAAGUGAAGACUAAUCUGAGGAUUCAAAAUGGAAUGUUCAGCUUUGACUGAGACACCAGACUUUGCUGAAGUCUCAUAAUGACAAAGGAUUUGUAGCAAAACCAGUUCUUCAUGGAAGAGUCUGAGAACAUGAGAAAAAAAAAGAGCAGAAAUGGUACUUAGAGCAUACUUGAUAGAGCAGUGUGAGGACCAAUAUACGUGCUAACUGGGCCUGGAAAAUUAAAUCCUCCUUUGUAUAGAUUAUUCUUUUGAAGAAUCUGAGUAUACUUUGCUCAAGGCUUUCUUUCCCUGAUUAUUUUGUGAAGAAUGAGAGAGUUAGAACUGUAUAAGAAUAGAGUAAUUAAGGUUAGCAAAGACCAAUAAGAUCAUCUAGUCAAACUGUCAACACAUCCUCAACACGUCCUCUAACCAUGUCCUUCAGUCCAGUGCAUUACCACUCUUUUAGAGAGGUCAUUUUUUCUAACAUCCAAACUGAACCUCCCCUGGGACAACUUGAGGCUACUACUCAUCCCAUCACUAUUACCUGGGAGAAGAUGCUGACACCCAUCUAACCACAACCUCCUUUUAGGGAGUUGUAGAGAGCAAUAAAGUCUCCCAUGAGCCUCUUCUUCUCCAGACUGAACAAUCCCAGUUGCCUCAGCUGCUCCCCAUAACACUUGUCCAGAUCCUUCACAACUUCAUUGCCCUUCACUGAACACACUCCAGGGCCUUGAUGUCUUUCUUGCAGUGAGAGACCAAAACUGACCACAGUACUCAAAGUGCAGUCUCUCCACUGCUGAAUACAUGGGGACAAUUAUUUCCCUGCUCCUGCUGGCUGCACUAUUUCUGAUAGUAGUCAAGAUGCCAUUGGCUUUCUUGGCCACCUAAGCACACUCCUAGAUCAUGUUUAGCCAGGUGUCAAUUAACAUGCCCAGAUCCUUUCCCUCCGCACAGCUUUCCAGUCACUCUGCCUCAACCCUGUAGCGUUGCCUGGGGUUUCUUUGACCAAAGUGCAAGACCCAGCACUUGGUCGUCUGAAGCUCAUAAAAUUGGCCUCAGCCCAUCAAUCUACCCUGUUCAGUUCCCUCUGUAGGGUCUUCCUACUCUCAUGCAAAUCAACUCUUUCUGCCGCGUUGGUGUCAUCUGCAAACUUAGUGAGGCUGCACUCAAUCUCCUCAUCCAGGUCAUCAGUAAACAUAUUAAACAGGACAGACCCCAGUACCAACCACAGGGGAACACCACUCAUGACCAAUCACCAGCUGGAUUUAAUUCCAUUCAACCCCACACUCUGGGCCCAGCCAUCCAGCCAGGAUCCAAGUGGAUCCCAUCCAGCCCCUUGGACUUGUAACAGUCAUGACAAGGCCUACAUUUAUCUAGUUUGUUAUAUAGUGCUGCCUGUGUGAUAUCUGCUGUCAAUAGUCUGUGAAUAAACUAUAAUG
ensembl:lncRNA